GCCGCUGUGGCUUAGUCUGGCAAAGCGGCUGAUUCGUAAUCAGCAGUUCGUGGGUUCGAAUCCCACCAGCGGCU
rnacentral:tRNA from 1 species